CGCUAGCUACAGGCUUAACACAUGCAAGUCGAGGGGUAGCAUGGUCUUAGCUUGCUAAGGCCGAUGGCGACCGGCGCACGGGUGAGUAACACGUAUCCAACCUGCCGUCUACUCUUGGACAGCCCUCUGAAAGGAAGAUUAAUACAAGAUGGCAUCAUGAGUCCGCAUGUUCACAUGAUUAAAGGUAUUCCGGUAGACGAUGGGGAUGCGUUCCAUUAGAUAGUAGGCGGGGUAACGGCCCACCUAGUCUUCGAUGGAUAGGGGUUCUGAGAGGAAGGUCCCCCACAUUGGAACUGAGACACGGUCCAAACUCCUACGGGAGGCAGCAGUGAGGAAUAUUGGUCAAUGGGCGAGAGCCUGAACCAGCCAAGUAGCGUGAAGGAUGACUGCCCUAUGGGUUGUAAACUUCUUUUAUAAAGGAAUAAAGUCGGGUAUGGAUACCCGUUUGCAUGUACUUUAUGAAUAAGGAUCGGCUAACUCCGUGCCAGCAGCCGCGGUAAUACGGAGGAUCCGAGCGUUAUCCGGAUUUAUUGGGUUUAAAGGGAGCGUAGAUGGAUGUUUAAGUCAGUUGUGAAAGUUUGCGGCUCAACCGUAAAAUUGCAGUUGAUACUGGAUAUCUUGAGUGCAGUUGAGGCAGGCGGAAUUCGUGGUGUAGCGGUGAAAUGCUUAGAUAUCACGAAGAACUCCGAUUGCGAAGGCAGCCUGCUAAGCUGCAACUGACAUUGAGGCUCGAAAGUGUGGGUAUCAAACAGGAUUAGAUACCCUGGUAGUCCACACGGUAAACGAUGAAUACUCGCUGUUUGCGAUAUACAGCAAGCGGCCAAGCGAAAGCGUUAAGUAUUCCACCUGGGGAGUACGCCGGCAACGGUGAAACUCAAAGGAAUUGACGGGGGCCCGCACAAGCGGAGGAACAUGUGGUUUAAUUCGAUGAUACGCGAGGAACCUUACCCGGGCUUAAAUUGCAGAUGAAUUACGGUGAAAGCCGUAAGCCGCAAGGCAUCUGUGAAGGUGCUGCAUGGUUGUCGUCAGCUCGUGCCGUGAGGUGUCGGCUUAAGUGCCAUAACGAGCGCAACCCUUGUUGUCAGUUACUAACAGGUCCCGCUGAGGACUCUGACAAGACUGCCAUCGUAAGAUGUGAGGAAGGUGGGGAUGACGUCAAAUCAGCACGGCCCUUACGUCCGGGGCUACACACGUGUUACAAUGGGGGGUACAGAGGGCCGCUACCACGCGAGUGGAUGCCAAUCCCCAAAACCUCUCUCAGUUCGGACUGGAGUCUGCAACCCGACUCCACGAAGCUGGAUUCGCUAGUAAUCGCGCAUCAGCCACGGCGCGGUGAAUACGUUCCCGGGCCUUGUACACACCGCCCGUCAAGCCAUGGGAGCCGGGGGUACCUGAAGUGCGUAACCGCGAGGAGCGCCCUAGGGUAAAACUGGUGACUG
rnacentral:rRNA from 1 species